GACGAACGCUGGCGGCGUGCUUAACACAUGCAAGUCGAACGGAAAGGCCCUGCUUUUGUGGGGUGCUCGAGUGGCGAACGGGUGAGUAACACGUGAGUAACCUGCCCUUGACUUUGGGAUAACUUCAGGAAACUGGGGCUAAUACCGGAUAGGAGCUCCUGCUGCAUGGUGGGGGUUGGAAAGUUUCGGCGGUUGGGGAUGGACUCGCGGCUUAUCAGCUUGCUGGUGGGGUAGUGGCUUACCAAGGCUUUGACGGGUAGCCGGCCUGAGAGGGUGACCGGCCACAUUGGGACUGAGAUACGGCCCAGACUCCUACGGGAGGCAGCAGGGGGGAAUAUUGCACAAUGGGCGGAAGCCUGAUGCAGCAACGCCGCGUGCGGGAUGACGGCCUUCGGGUUGUAAACCGCUUUCGCCUGUGACGAAGCGUGAGUGACGGUAAUGGGUAAAGAAGCACCGGCUAACUACGUG
rnacentral:rRNA from 1 species